rnacentral:rRNA from 1 species
GCCGGUUUCCCUCGAUGAUCUUCACCGGUUGUCCCGGGUGACCGGCACGUUUACUUUGAAAAAAUUAGAGUGCUCAAAGCAGGCGCGUAGCCUGGAUAAUGGUGCAUGGAAUAAUGGAAUAGGACUUCGUUUCUAUUUUGUUGGUUUUCGGAACACGAGGUAAUGAUUAAGAGGGACAGACGGGGGCAUUCGUAUUGCGACGCUAGAGGUGAAAUUCUUGGACCGUCGCAAGACGAACUACUGCGAAAGCAUUUGCCAAGAAUGUUUUCAUUAAUCAAGAACGAAAGUUAGAGGUUCGAAGGCGAUCAGAUACCGCCCUAGUUCUAACCAUAAACGAUGCCAACCAGCGAUCCGCCUGAGUUCCUCAAAUGACUCGGCGGGCAGCUUACGGGAAACCAAAGUGUUUGGGUUCCGGGGGAAGUAUGGUUGCAAAGCUGAAACUUAAAGGAAUUGACGGAAGGGCACUACCAGAUGUGGAGCCUGCGGUUUAAUUUGACUCAACACGGGGCAACUUACCCGGCCCGGACACUGGAAGGAUUGACAGAUUAAGAGCUCUUUCUUGAUUCAGUGGGUGGUGGUGCAUGGCCGUUCGUAGUUGGUGAAGCGAUUUGUCUGGUUAAUUCCGAUAACGAGCGAGACUCUAGCCUACUAAAUAGGCGUCCCGAUCUCUUUCGUCGGGCGUUCUUCUUAGAGGGACAAGUGGCGUUUAGCCGCACGAGACAGAGCAAUAACAGGUCUGUUAUGCCCUUAGAUGUCCGGGGCCGCACGCGCGCUACACUGAAGGAAUCAGCGUGUGCUUUCCCUGUCCGGUAGGACUGGGUAACCCGUUGAACCUCCUUCGUGAUAGGGAUAGGGGCUUGCAAUUAUUCCCCUUGAACGAGGAAUACCCAGUAAGCACGAGUCAUCAGCUCGUGUUGAUUACGUCCCUGCCCUUUGUACACACCGCCCGUCGCUACUACCGAUUGAAUGAUUUAGUGAGGUCUUCGGACUGGCGCUCGGAGCGGCAGCGAGGUCGCGCCG